rnacentral:rRNA from 1 species
AUUGAACGCUGGCGGCAGGCCUAACACAUGCAAGUCGAGCGAGUGGCGGACGGGUGAGUAAUGUCUGGGAAACUGCCUGAUGGAGGGGGAUAACUACUGGAAACGGUAGCUAAUACCGCAUACCAUCAGAUGUGCCCAGAGGGGAUUAGCUAGUAGGUGGGGUAACGGCUCACCUAGGCGACGAUCCCUAGCUGGGCUGAGAGGAUGACCAGCCACACUGGAACUGAGACACGGUCCAGCCUCCUACGGGAGGCAGCGGUGGGAAUUAUUGCGCAUGGGGCGCAAGCCUGAUGCGGCCAUGCCUCGUGUAUGAGUGGGGCCUUCGGGUUGUAAAGUACUGUCAGCGGGGAGGCGUUACCCGCAGAAGAAGCACCGGCUAACUCCGUGCCAGCCGCCGCGGUAAUAC